CCUACGGGCGGCAGCAGUGGGGAAUAUUGCUCAAUGGGGGCGACCCUGAACCAGCCAAGCCGCGUGAAGGAUGAAUGCCCUCGGGUUGGUAACCUUCUUUUAUAGAGAAGUAAAGUGAGGCACGUGUGCAUUAUUGUCUGUACUUUAUGAAUAAGGAUCGGCUAACUCCGUGCCAGCAGCCGCGGUAAUACGGAGGGUCUGAGCGUUAUGCGGAUUCAGUGGGUUUAAGGGGACCGUAGAUGGGGUGUUAAGUCAGUUGUGAAAGUUUGCGGCUAAACCGUAAAAUUGCAAUUGAUACUGGUAUUCUUGAGUACAGUUGAGGUAGGUGGAAUUCGUGGUGUAGCGGUGAAAUGCGUAGAUAUCACGAAGAACUCUGAUUGCGAAGGCAGCUUACUAAACUGCCACUGACGCUGAGGCACGAAAGCGUGGGGAGCGAACAGGAUUAGAUACCCGGGUAGUC
rnacentral:rRNA from 1 species